GAAAAGAACUUUGAAGAGAGAGUUCAAUAGUACGUGAAACCGUUCAGAGGUAAACGGACAGGGCCGCAAAGUCUGUUGCACGGAUUCAACCGACAUGUGAACGGCUUUGUAUUGGAAGGCAUUCGCUCUGCGGAGACUUCUAGUGCAAGGCGCAACGAUCACGGUUGGUGCACUUUCGUGCGAUGGAGCGCCGCGACCGGUUGAUCGGCGGUAAGAAACUCCGUGGUUAGGUGACAUCUUCUCGUUAACGCGAGUCGGUGAGUUAUAAACCUGGAUGCUAAUUGCCCGUCGAGAGACCGAGGAGGACCGAGCUCAGGCGUUCUCGCCUUUAGACUUUGAUCGAACGUUCGACCGAGUAUCACUGCACAAGUAGUGUUUUUCGACCGCGUUUUGUUAAUCGUUUGAAGUGUCGAUGGACGCGAUAAACGCGAGGGGUCUGCGGCGAUUCGGUCGGUAGCCUGUCUGACCCGUCUUGAAACACGGACCAAGGAGUCUAACACGUGCGCGAGUCUCAGGGUCGUACGAAACCCGUUGGACGCAAUGAAAGUGAAAAUAAGGCUUUUUAAGUCUCUGUUUAGGUGGGAUCUCGAAACCGGUGACGGUGACGGGCGCACCACCGGCCCGUUUUAGCCGCUACGUCGGCGGGGCGGAGCAAGAGUGUACGCGUUGG
rnacentral:rRNA from 1 species